UAGAAUUGACGGGGCCGCACAAGCGGCGGAGCAUGCGGAUUAAUUCGAUGCAACGCGAAGAACCUUACCAAGGCUUGACAUACACCGGUAACGCCCAGAGAUGGGUGCCCCUUUGUGGUCGGUGUACAGGUGGUGCAUGGUUGUCGUCAGCUCGUGUCGUGAGAUGUUGGGUUAAGUCCCGCAACGAGCGCAACCCUCGUCCUAUGUUGCCAGCGGGUCAUGCCGGGGACUCAUGGGAGACUGCCGGGGUCAACUCGGAGGAAGGUGGGGAUGACGUCAAAUCAUCAUGCCCCUUAUGUCUUGGGCUUCACGCAUGCUACAAUGGCCGGUACAAAGGGCUGCGAUACCGCGAGGUGGAGCGAAUCCCAGAAAGCCGGUCUCAGUUCGGAUUGGGGUCUGCAACUCGACCCCAUGAAGUCGGAGUCGCUAGUAAUCGCAGAUCGGCAACGCUGCGGUGAAUACGUUCCCGGGCCUU
rnacentral:rRNA from 1 species